UACGGGGGGAGCAAGCGUUGUUCGGAUUUAUUGGGCGUAAAGAGCGUGUAGGCGGCCAGACAGGUCCGUUGUGAAAACUAGAGGCUUAACCUCUAGACGUCGAUGGAAACCGUCUGGCUAGAGUCCGGAAGAGGAGAAUGGAAUUCCUGGUGUAGCGGUGAAAUGACGCAGAUAUCAGGAAGAACACCCGUGGCUAAGGCGGUUCUCUAGUACGGUACUGACGCUGAGACGCGAAAGCGUGGGGAGCGAACAGG
rnacentral:rRNA from 1 species